GUGCCAGCCGCCGCGGUAAUACGAAGGGUGCAAGCGUUAGUCGGAAUUACUGGGCGUAAAGCGUGCGUAGGUGGUUUCUUAAGUCGGAUGUGAAAGCCCUGGGCUCAACCUGGGAAUGGCACUCGAUACUGGGAAGCUAGAGUGCGGUAGAGGAGGGUGGAAUUCCCGGUGUAGCGGUGAAAUGCGUAGAGAUCGGGAGGAACAUCAGUGGCGAAGGCGACCCUCUGGACCAGCACUGACGCUGAGGCACGAAAGCGUGGGGAGCAAACAGGAUUAGAAACCCGGGUAGUCC
rnacentral:rRNA from 1 species